UACAGAGGGGGCAAGCGUUGUUCGGAAUUACUGGGCGUAAAGGGCGCGUAGGCGGCCUGUUAAGUCGAACGUGAAAUCCCCGGGCUCAACCCGGGAACUGCGUCCGAGAUUGGCAGGCUCGAAUCCGGGAGAGGGAUGUGGAAUUCCAGGUGUAGCGGUGAAAUGCGUAGAGAUUUGGAGGAACACCAGUGGCGAAGGCGACUUUCUGGUCUGUAACUGACACUGAGGCGCGAAAGCGUGGGGAGCAAACAGG
rnacentral:rRNA from 1 species